UGGGAAAAGCUCAACUUUGAAAUCUGGUACUUUCAGUAUCCGAAUUGUAGUCUCAAGAAGUGUUUUCUGUGCCGGUCCAUGUAUGAGUCUGUUGGAACACAGCGUCAUAGAGGGUGACAACCCCGUUCAUGACAUGGAUCCCGGUGCUUUGUGAUACACUCUCGAAGAGUCGAGUUGUUUGGGAAUGCAGCUCAAAUUGGGUGGUAAAUUCCAUCUAAAGCUAAAUAUUGGCGAGAGACCGAUAGCAAACAAGUACCGUGAGGGAAAGAUGAAAAGCACUUUGGAAAGAGAGUUAACAGUACGUGAAAUUGUUGAAAGGGAAACGAUUGAAGUCAGACGUGCGUGAUGCGGUUCAGCUUUAGUUCGCUAGAGUGUACUCCGUAUCUUUGCAGGCCAACAUCGGUUUUGUUAGUCGGAUAAAGGUUUGAGAAAUGUGGCACCUUCGGGUGUGUUAUAGUC
rnacentral:rRNA from 1 species